rnacentral:rRNA from 1 species
AUUGAACGCUGGCGGCAUGCCUUACACAUGCAAGUCGAACGGUAACAGGUCUUCGGAUGCUGACGAGUGGCGAACGGGUGAGUAAUACAUCGGAACGUGCCUAGUAGUGGGGGAUAACUACUCGAAAGAGUGGCUAAUACCGCAUGAGAUCUACGGAUGAAAGCAGGGGAUCGAAAGACCUUGUGCUACUAGAGCGGCCGAUGGCAGAUUAGGUAGUUGGUGGGAUAAAAGCUUACCAAGCCGACGAUCUGUAGCCGGUCUGAGAGGACGAUCAGCCACACUGGGACUGAGACACGGCCCAGACUCCUACGGGAGGCAGCAGUGGGGAAUUUUGGACAAUGGGCGAAAGCCUGAUCCAGCAAUGCCGCGUGCAGGAUGAAGGCCUUCGGGUUGUAAACUGCUUUUGUACGGAACGAAAAGCCCCGGGUUAAUACCCUGGGGUCAUGACGGUACCGUAAGAAUAAGCACCGGCUAACUACGUGCCAGCAGCCGCCGUAA